UACGUAGGUGGCAAGCGUUAUCCGGAUUUAUUGGGCGUAAGGGAAUGCAGGCGGUCUUUUAAGUCUGAUGUGAAAGCCUUCGGCUUAACCGGAGUAGUGCAUUGGAAACUGGGAGACUUGAGUGCAGAAGAGGAGAGUGGAACUCCAUGUGUAGCGGUGAAAUGCGUAGAUAUAUGGAAGAACACCAGUGGCGAAAGCGGCUCUCUGGUCUGUAACUGACGCUGAGGUUCGAAAGCGUGGGUAGCAAACAGG
rnacentral:rRNA from 1 species